GCCUUUGUCUCACUUCAGCCAGAGAGCGGGGUUAGGGCUUCAUUGCCUUGUGUCCUCUGCUCCGGGAGACUUCGGUGAUUCUGCCACUCCCUCCGUCGCUCUGUGACCUGCUGGCAUUGAAUGAUUUAUAGCUAAGACUCCAGGACACCCCUGAAGCCGAGAAAUGAAAUCCCAAGUUGACCGUCAAGUCCAACGCUCGCUGCAGACAUCUAGUGGACCCGGCGCUCGCGGACGGAAGCGGACAGACCUAGUUGGAUCCUUAUCCCACCAAUCUGGCCCACCUUUGCUGCCAUCUAACUCCGCUGACCGGCCCACCGUUCCUCCACUGUUCGCUGGUUGACCCGGGCAGCGGAGAGAGGAGGUGCUUCUCUUCUGUCCCACGGCAGGCGGCACCAACAGAAGGCUUCUGCAAAGCUGAGAGCUCCUUUUACCCAUGGAUCAGGAGCAGAGUUUGCAGCUACACUGUCAGGCUGUGUUUGGAUGUUAGCAGUUAGUUUAGCUUUGCGUCUUCAGAGCAAUUGUUCUUAGCUACUUAAAAAAAGAAAAGAAAAGAAAGGAAAAUUUAAAAUUUUCUUCAUUGAUCAUUCAGGAGCAUGUUUAAUUUCCAUGUAUUUGUACAAUUUCAAAAGUUCACCUUGUUGUUGACUUCUAGUUUUAUUCCAUUGUGGUCAGGAAAGAUACUCGAUAUAAUUUCAAUUAUUUUAAAUUUGUUGAGACUUGUUUUGUGGCCUAACAUAUGGUCUAUUCUGGAGAAUGUUUCUUGUGCUGAUGAAAGAAUGUGUUUUUUGCAUCUGUUGGAUGAAAUGUUCUGUAAAUGUCUCUUUGUUAGUCUAAAAUGCAGUUUUUUGUUUUUUGUUUUUUUAGGAGAGUCUCACUCUGUUGCCCAGGCUGGAGUGCAGUAGCAUGAUCUUGACUCACUGCAACCUCCACCUCCCAGGUUCAAGCAAUUCUCAUGCCUCAGCCUCCCAAGUAGCUGGAAUUACAGAUGCCCACCACCACACCCAGCCAAUUUUUGUAUUUUUAGUAGAGACAGUGUUUUACCAUGCUGGCCAGGCUGGUCUCAAACUCCUGGCCUCAAGGGAUCCGCCUGCCUUGGCCUCCCAAGGUGCUGGUACUAUAGGUGUGAGCCACCGCAUCCAGCCUAAAGUACAGUAUAAAUCUAAUGUUUUGUUUUUGAUCUUCUAUCUAGACAAUCUGUUCAGUGCUGAGAAUGGGGUAUUGAAUUCCCCAGCUAUUGUAUUGGCAUCUAUAUCUCCCUUUAGACCUAAUAAUAUUUGGUUUAUAUUAUAUAUCUCGGUGCUCCAGUGUUGGGUGCAUAUAUAUUUAGAAUUGUUACAUCCUUUUGCUGAAUUGAUCCCUUUAUCAAUAUAUAAUAACCUUCAUCUUUUUUUAAUCA